CGCAGCCGCGGUAAUUCCAGCUCCAAUAGCGUAUAUUAAAGUUGUUGCAGUUAAAAAGCUCGUAGUUGAAUUUCGGGAUCAAUAUUUCGGUCAUGCCGUUGGUACGCACUGUUAUCAUUGAUUUCUCACCUUCUAAAGAACCGUAAUGCCAUUAAUUUGGUGUUACGGGGAAUUAGGACUGUUACCUUGAAAAAAUUAGAGUGUUUAAAGCAGGCUCACGCUUGAAUACAUUAGCAUGGAAUAAUGAAAUAGGACAUCCGAUUCUAUUUUGUUGGUUUCUAGGAUCGAUGUAAUGAUUAAUAGGGAUAGUUGGGGGCAUUAGUAUUCAAUUGUCAGAGGUGAAAUUCUUGGAUUUAUUGAAGACUAACUACUGCGAAAGCAUUUGCCAAGGAUGUUUUCAUUAAUCAAGAACGAAAGUUAGGGGAUCGAAGACGAUCAGAUACCGUCGUAGUCUUAACCAUAAACUAUGCCGACUAGGGAUCGGAUGAUGUUAAUUUUUUAAUGUACUCAUUCGGC
rnacentral:rRNA from 1 species